UUGCACCACUGCACUCCAGCCUGGGUAACAGAGUGAGACCUGGUCUCAAAUAUAUAUACUUUUUUCUGUGCUCUGAUGAUACUAGUAACUUCAGGGCAUGUGUUUGGCCUGUCUCUGGCAUGGUUCUGAUGGAUUUGUGGUGAGUGCCCUGCAUGCUCUUGUCCAUAUCCUCCCAGCGUAAGAAGGAUGGGUGUCUAAUGAGGCUGGCAGUGGCAAUCCAAUAUUCUGACUGUGGAACUGGACAGGUCUGAGAGUCUCACAGGUGGUCCCAUCCGGGCUGCACUCUGUGGGCUCAUCAGCCAUUUUUGUGCUUGUUUACAUUUCAUAUCACAGAUGCCCAAGACAGUGGUGAAGAAUUUUUUUCCUUUCCAACUUUUUAGGAGGUUCCUGUGCUGAUUUGUCACAUGGGUAAAAUGCGUGUUGCGGGGGUCUGGUGUGCAGAUUCUUCGGUCACCCAGGUAAUAACUGCAGCACGUAUUUUUCAGUCCUCACCCUCCUCCCACAGUCCACCCUCAAGUAGGCCCCGGUGUCUUUUGUUCCCUUCUUUGUGUUCAUGGGUUCUUAGCAUUUAGCUCCCACUUGUAAGUAAGAACAUGCAGUGUUUGGUUUUCUGUUCUUGUGUUGAUUCGUUUAGGAGAAUAGUCUCCUGUUCCAUCCAUGUUGCUGCAAAAGACAUUAUUUUUUUCUUUUUUAUGGCUGUGUAGUUAAGAAUUAAGAAUUGGGUUUUUUAAAGUUGUGGAGAGUAGCUGAUGAGGAGAUGGGACAGCAUAAUAUUCAACUACGGUAUUUCUUUUUCAAAGCUUAUUCAGGUAAAACAGUUUCAUUAAAGGGUAGAGGCCCUCUUUAGCAACAUGCUAGUGGAGAAUACCCCCCUUUGCCUGCCCAAGACAUACAGAAAAGAAGGAUUGUAGAAGGUCCCACGAAAACAUUAGAAUUAGGAGGCUGGAAUUUAAACUUAGCAAAGGAAAGCAGUAUCGGAACAGUGGUUUCAAGAACCCAGUCACGUCGCACAUUCUCAAGGAUGCUGCUGAGAAAACAGUGAGUCUUGGGCUUGCCUAAGGCCCCUUCCAACUCUGCAUGCUCUCUCUGUUCCUAUCCCUAAAUUGUCCAGUGACCAGCACAGGUUAUCUUACUGAGCUGGGCUUUCUAAUACAGUGGAGGUCUCCUCCAGGCGGUGGUGUACUGGUACAGCCUCGUGGGAGCCAGUUUUCAGCACUUCUUUCCAGUCCUCACUCCGUGUUGACAGGGUGGUAGCUUGAAAUCCAUCACGGUGGAAGUAUUUACACCAUGGAAACUGGCAAUUGGCAAAUGCUGCCAAUCAGCCAUCCUUACCACCUCUGGGCCCCUAGGCCUGGCCCAUUGUUAAAUUAUAUCCACAUAUCAUUGCCUCUAAGUGACAUACCUGGGCUACCUGGGCUGUUUUCUCUGCAGUGAUCUACUUCCUAGCCCCUCUUUGUAUUUAUAAAUGUGGUUGACUGCCCCUUUCCACAUCACUGAUGAAGAUCAGGCCUAGGAAAAUAGCUACCCGGAAUCUAAUUUUAGUAAUGUUUUUGUUUCAGGAAAAAUCGUCUUAUCUAAUUUUACGUAAUAGGGGUUCAGCGCAGUAGAGUAGUUGAUAUCAUGGUUUUUCCAGCCAGACAACCUGGGUUCAGAUUCCAGUUAUUUUAUUUGCAAUUUACAGGAUCUUAAAGGAGUUGCUAGAUGUCUUCAUACCUUGAUGUCCUCAUUCAGGGUGAUGGAUUCAAUCCUUGUAUAUCAUGCAGUUGUUUUAAAGAUUAAAUGGGUUCAUAUGUAUGAAGCACUUAGGAAACAUCAGGCACACGGUAGGUGUUGUUAGUAUUCAGCACACAAUUCCACAUGUACAAAUGUGUAUCUGGCAGUGUCUGUUAAGCUUCUCGGUAUGCCCAGUGCUGCUUGGAUAUAAUCAGAUGGCUAUUAUAGGCAAUACAGUAAAGAUGAUGAAGCCGUCAUGUACACUGUUGUUCUUUUUGUCAUUCUCAAAACUUAAUCUAUCUGAAGGAGAAGGGUUACUAGGAGUGUGAAAUUUAAUGGGUAAUUUCUACCUUACAAUCCACGCUCAGUAAUAUGGAGUUGAUACCCUCCUAGGGAGCUGGGAGACUUUACAGGUUUUUUAAGUCAGGAGCAUAGCUAGGAACCUUAUGUUCAUUACUUCAAACUUCUAAGCUAGAUAAUAUCAUUACUUGGAUUUUCCAGGUGCAGAGAAUGAGGAUCAGAAAUGUUGAAGAGUUUGCCCAGAGAUCCAGCUAGCAAAUAGCCAGCUUCAGGGCUGAUAGGACCGUCAUUGUCCCUGACCAUGACCCGUCACAUGGCCAGCUCCAGAUGGAUUGGAAGGUCUGCGGGAACUAGCUUUGGCCUAGGCCAAGAUCAUCCAACCAGACCUUCUCCUGCUUCCUAUUUAGGAGAACACAGACCCCAGGUGUCCCACUGCAGAGUCCCAGUGUAUGAAGGUCAACCCAGUGUGAGACCUCCAGCAUAUAAAAUAUGGAUGGAAAUCACAGCUUCAGAAGAGCAGUGAAGGAUACAAGGAAAGGAAAUGGGAUUAAAAAGAAAACUAACAAAGGGGACCUUAAUUCUAUAUGGCAGAUUUUCUUUUCUGAGAUGGAGUCUUACUCUGCUCCCAGGCUGGAGUACAGUGGCUCCAUCUAGGCUGA
rnacentral:lncRNA from 1 species